GAAAAAUGGGUAUGUUUCACAGUGAUUUGUUAUUACUACACAUGCAUUAAUACAAAUGCGUUCUACUUUAUGGUUUCAUAACUAACGAACUUUCUAACACUGACUAUGUGCAAUACCAAUUUUUAUUGUUGUUUUGAAUAGGCAACACAAUGACUACUAGAUCUACGGACAGCCAGGAACCAGGACAAACAACAUCCAUACACACGGAAGAAGUCAAUGAGACGAAAUGUACGGAACAAAAAAGGGCAACACAAUGACUACUAGAUCUACGGACAGCCAGGAACCAGGACAAACAACAUCCGUACACACGGAAGAAGUUGAUGAGACGAAAAGGGUACUUCAAAUACCAGGAGAACAAAACAAGCAGCCAAAAAGCAAUGGAGUGAAAACGAAAAAGGAGCUGUUCACAGACGCUUUGAUCGUUUUUUGAUAAUGGGUAAAUUACCAGGGAAAAAAGAAAUACUUGCAUGUAUUGAAAGUGAGAAUGACCUUCACAACAGAAGUUGGAAAAAUGUCAAAGACUUUUGCAGAAAAUUAAUUGAAACAAAAAAGCG